rnacentral:rRNA from 1 species
AGAGUUUGAUCAUGGCUCAGAUCAACGCUGGCGGCNNGCCUAACACAUGCAAGUCGAACGAGAAAGGGGAGCAAUCCCUGAGUAAAGUGGCGUACGGGUGAGUAACACGUGGGUAAUCUACCCUUGGGUGGGGAAUAACCCUGGGAAACCGGGGCUAAUACCGCAUAAGUCCGAGAGGAGAAAGCAGCAAUGCGCUGAAGGAGGAGCCCGCGGCCGAUUAGCUAGUUGGUAAGGUAAAGGCUUACCAAGGCAAAGAUCGGUAGCCGGCCUGAGAGGGCACACGGCCACACUGGCACUGAAACACGGGCCAGACUCCUACGGGAGGCAGCAGUGGGGAAUCUUGCACAAUGGGGGAAACCCUGAUGCAGCGACGCCGCGUGAGCGAUGAAGCCCUUCGGGGUGUAAAGCUCUUUCGGCAGGGAAGAUGAUGACGGUACCUGCAGAAGCAGCUGCGGCUAACUACGUGCCAGCAGCCGCGGUAAUACGUAGGCAGCAAGCGUUGUUCGGAGUUACUGGGCGUAAAGGGUGUGUAGGCGGUCUGGUAAGUCUGGUGUGAAAUCUCCCGGCUCAACUGGGAGGGUGCGCCGGAAACUGCCGGACUCGAGUGCGGGAGAGGAGAGUGGAAUUCCUGGUGUAGCGGUGAAAUGCGUAGAUAUCAGGAGGAACACCGGUGGUGUAGACGGCUCUCUGGACCGUAACUGACGCUGAAACACGAAAGCGUGGGUAGCAAACAGGAUUAGAUACCCCAGUAGUCC